GCAGCGGUGGCCUACUGGUUAGGGGUUCAGAUUUGUGAUCGGAGGGUUGCCGGUUCGAACCCCCACCAGUA
rnacentral:tRNA from 1 species